rnacentral:rRNA from 1 species
GAUGAACGCUAGCGGCAGGCCUAACACAUGCAAGUCGCGGGGCAGCGCGGUGUAGCAAUACACUGGCGGCGACCGGCGCACGGGUGCGUAACGCGUAUGCAACCUGCCCACUCCCGGGGGAUAGCCCGCCGAAAGGCGGAUUAAUACCCCAUGGACCCUUAGCGCCGCAUGGCGCGGAGGGUAAAGCUCCGGCGGGAAUGGAUGGGCAUGCGUGCCAUUAGCUGGUUGGUAGGGUAACGGCUUACCAAGGCUACGAUGGCUAGGGGGUCUGGGAGGAUGAUCCCCCACACUGGUACUGAGACACGGACCAGACUCCUACGGGAGGCAGCAGUGAGGAAUAUUGGUCAAUGGACGCAAGUCUGAACCAGCCAUGCCGCGUGCAGGAUGACGGCCCUAUGGGUUGUAAACUGCUUUUCCACGGGAAGAACCCUCCGACGUGUCGGAGACUGACGGUACCGUGGGAAUAAGCAUCGGCUAACUCCGUG